UACACACCGCCCGUCACACCACGAAGUCAAUUGCACCAGAAGUCACUGUCCUAACCGUAAGGAGGGAGGUGCCCAAGGUGCGGUCGAUGAUUGGGGUG
rnacentral:rRNA from 1 species